GACGAACGCUGGUGGCGUGCUUAACACAUGCAAGUCGAACGGAAAGGCCCUGCUUUUGUGGGGUGCUCGAGUGGCGAACGGGUGAGUAACACGUGAGUAACCUGCCCUUGACUUUGGGAUAACUUCAGGAAACUGGGGCUAAUACCGGAUAGGAGCUCCUGCUGCAUGGUGGGGGUUGGAAAGUUUCGGCGGUUGGGGAUGGACUCGCGGCUUAUCAGCUUGUUGGUGGGGUAGUGGCUUACCAAGGCUUUGACGGGUAGCCGGCCUGAGAGGGUGACCGGCCACAUUGGGACUGAGAUACGGCCCAGACUCCUACGGGAGGCAGCAGUGGGGAAUAUUGCACAAUGGGCGGAAGCCUGAUGCAGCAACGCCGCGUGCGGGAUGACGGCCUUCGGGUUGUAAACCGCUUUCGCCUGUGACGAAGCGUGAGUGACGGUAAUGGGUAAAGAAGCACCGGCUAACUACGUGCCAGCAGCCGCGGUGAUACGUAGGGUGCGAGCGUUGUCCGGAUUUAUUGGGCGUAAAGGGCUCGUAGGUGGUUGAUCGCGUCGGAAGUGUAAUCUUGGGGCUUAACCCUGAGCGUGCUUUCGAUACGGGUUGACUUGAGGAAGGUAGGGGAGAAUGGAAUUCCUGGUGGAGCGGUGGAAUGCGCAGAUAUCAGGAGGAACACCAGUGGCGAAGGCGGUUCUCUGGGCCUUUCCUGACGCUGAGGAGCGAAAGCGUGGGGAGCGAACAGGCUUAGAUACCCUGGUAGUCCACGCUGUAAACGGUGGGUACUAGGUGUGGGGUCCAUUCCACGGGUUCCGUGCCGUAGCUAACGCUUUAAGUACCCCGCCUGGGGAGUACGGCCGCAAGGCUCAAACUCAAAGGAAUUGACGGGGCCCCGCACAAGCGGCGGAGCAUGCGGAUUAAUUCGAUGCAACGCGUAGAACCUUACCUGGGUUUGACAUGGAUCGGGAGUGCUCAGAGAUGGGUGUGCCUCUUUUGGGGUCGGUUCACAGGUGGUGCAUGGCUGUCGUCAGCUCGUGUCGUGAGAUGUUGGGUUAAGUCCCGCAACGAGCGCAACCCUUGUUCACUGUUGCCAGCACGUUAUGGUGGGGACUCAGUGGAGACCGCCGGGGUCAACUCGGAGGAAGGUGGGGAUGACGUCAAGUCAUCAUGCCCCUUAUGUCCAGGGCCUCACGCAUGCUACAAUGGCUGGUACAGAGAGUGGCGAGCCUGUGAGGGUGAGCGAAUCUCGGAAAGCCGGUCUCAGUUCGGAUUGGGGUCUGCAACUCGACCUCAUGAAGUCGGAGUCGCUAGUAAUCGCAGAUCAGCAACGCUGCGGUGAAUACGUUCCCGGG
rnacentral:rRNA from 1 species